GUGUGACGCAGAUACGUAACGCGGUGUUGAAGUUACCAUUAAAAAAUAUUCCGAUUGGACGGAGUAAAGUCACCCUAGCAUCCGCUGUAACAUCAGCUCCAGAAGCAUACGCCGAAAAUGA
rnacentral:rRNA from 12 species